rnacentral:rRNA from 1 species
AGCCGAAUUAACCAGCCCUGAAAAUUGAUGGCGCUAAGCGUGACACCGAUACUCAACCAUUGGAGCAAACAGAUGCCCCAAUGAGUAAGAGGGCGUGGACAUUGUGCUGAAGGCCAGGGCGUGAGCCCGGCUGGAACGAUGUCUAGUGCAGAUCUUGGUGGUAGUAGCAAAUAUUCAAAUGAGAACUUUGAAGACCGAAGUGGAGAAGGGUUCCAUGAGAACAGCAUUUGAUCAUGGGUUACUCGAUCCUAAGGCAUAGGGAAAUUCCUUGUAAUACAUUCGCGUUUACGCGAUUGGUCAAAAGGGAAUGAGGUGGAUAUUCCUCAAGCUGCGCGAGAGGUG